rnacentral:rRNA from 1 species
GAUGAACGCUGGCGGCGUGCUUAACACAUGCAAGUCGAACGAAGCACCUUAUUCUGAUUUCUUCGGAAUGAAAAAUUUGGUGACUGAGUGGCGGACGGGUGAGUAACGCGUGGGUAACCUGCCUCAUACAGGGGGAUAACAGUUAGAAAUGACUGCUAAUACCGCAUAAGACCACAGCACCGCAUGGUGCAGGGGUAAAAACUCCGGUGGUAUGAGAUGGACCCGCGUCUGAUUAGGUAGUUGGUGGGGUAACGGCCUACCAAGCCGACGAUCAGUAGCCGACCUGAGAGGGUGACCGGCCACAUUGGGACUGAGACACGGCCCAAACUCCUACGGGAGGCAGCAGUGGGGAAUAUUGCACAAUGGGGGAAACCCUGAUGCAGCGACGCCGCGUGAGCGAUGAAGUAUUUCGGUAUGUAAAGCUCUAUCAGCAGGGAAGAAAAUGACGGUACCUGACUAAGAAGCACCGGCUAAAUACGUGCCAGCAGCCGCGGUAAUACGUAUGGUGCAAGCGUUAUCCGGAUUUACUGGGUGUAAAGGGAGCGUAGACGGAGUGGCAAGUCUGAUGUGAAAACCCGGGGCUCAACCCCGGGACUGCAUUGGAAACUGUCAAUCUAGAGUACCGGAGAGGUAAGCGGAAUUCCUAGUGUAGCGGUGAAAUGCGUAGAUAUUAGGAGGAACACCAGUGGCGAAGGCGGCUUACUGGACGGUAACUGACGUUGAGGCUCGAAAGCGUGGGGAGCAAACAGGAUUAGAUACCCUGGUAGUCCACGCCGUAAACGAUGACUAAUAGGUGUUGGGCAGCCAAAGCUAUUCGGUGCCGCCGCCAAACGCAAUAAGUAGUCCACCUGGGGAGUACGUUCGCAAGAAAGAAACUCAAAGGAAUGGACGGGGAGCCGCACAAGCGGUGGAGCAUGUGGUUUAAUUUGAAGCAACGCGAAGAACCUUACCUGCUCUUGACAUCUCCCUGACCGGCAAGUAAUGUUGCCUUUCCUUCGGGACAGGGAUGACAGGUGGUGCAUGGUUGUCGUCAGCUCGUGUCGUGAGAUGGUGGGUUAAGUCCCGCAACGAGCGCAACCCCUAUCUUUAGUAGCCAGCGGUUUGGCCGGGCACUCUAGAGAGACUGCCAGGGAUAACCUGGAGGAAGGUGGGGAUGACGUCAAAUCAUCAUGCCCCCUAUGAGCAGGGCUACACACGUGCUACAAUGGCGUAAACAAAGGGAGGCAGAACCGCGAGGUCGAGCAAAUCCCAAAAAUAACGUCUCAGUUCGGAUUGUAGUCUGCAACUCGACUACAUGAAGCUGGAAUCGCUAGUAAUCGCGAAUCAGAAUGUCGCGGUGAAUACGUUCCCGGGUCUUGCAC